GUUCUUGUAGCGCCACAGAUAGCGCGUUGGACAUCUAAUCCAAAGGUCGUGGGUUCGAAUCCCACCUGGGAUG